GUCGCUACUACCGAUUGAAUGGCUUAGUGAGCUUGCUGGAGUGAUGCACUUGUCGGGCAACCGAUAGGAGCGUUUGUGAAAGCAAUCAAACUUGAUCAUUUAGAGGAAGUAA
rnacentral:rRNA from 1 species